ensembl:lncRNA
AUGACUUCAUAUAUGACUUCACAGCUUCAAAAUUCCACUCUGAUACAGCCUGAAUCUCUCUCUCUCUCUCUCUUUCUCUCUCCGUCUACCUCCACUCACUCGCUCGCUCGUUCUUUCUGUCUGGCCAAGCCUCGGGUAGAAAAAUGUAGCAUAGCUUUGACAGCUAUCCCUGAUGGUUAUUUUUGGAUUCCAGGAGAAACUAUCACUAAAUGUUGUACGAGAGAUAUGUACUGUGAAGACGCUCAGAUCAUGUUCCUGCAACGCAGUUUGAGUUUGAUCUUCCAUUAUCAUCUGAUUUUUCAGCGUCAUGUCACUAUGUCAUGCCCCCUUCCUCUUCUUCCUCCUUUUGCAGUGAAUGUUUCUAUCCACGUUCUUCUAGACCCUCUGGUAUUGCCCAAUUCAUCUGACACGCAGCUAUCAAUCUUUAAUGAAUUCAUAGAUGAGCACAGAGACUCUUAUAAGAAAUAUAUAACAGAGAAACUCAAAGACUCAGGUACCAUAGGCUACCCACAGUUCCUCCAAAGACAAGUUUAUUACUAGUCAUAUAAUCACUUCAGUACUCUGAUAUAGACAAAUCUUUAUUUGAAUUAAAAUAAAUGUUGAGUGAAAAAAAAAAAAAAUACUAGAAAUGACAAAAACACAACAAAAAGUACUACAGCUUUGACUAAAAUUUAAAUGAAAACAUAAAAUAUAUAAAUAAAAAUAUAGGCCUAUCUGAUUAAUACUAAAUAUUGUUGGUUCAUCAGCACAUAUACAGUAUAUUGUACAUAUUUCAGGCAGAGCAUAUUAGAUUC